UUCUUCUACUUUAUAUGGGACACCGCCACAGCAUGGCUUGAUAGGCAGUGCUUAGGUCCACACCCAGGAUGUGAACUGGUGAAUCCCGAGCCACCGAAGUGGAAGAUGUGAACUUAACUGCUAUGCCACCAG